rnacentral:rRNA from 1 species
GACGAACGCUGGCGGCGUGCUUAACACAUGCAAGUCGAACGAUGAAGUUCCUUCGGGAAUGGAUUAGUGGCGAACGGGUGAGAAACACGUGAGAAACCUGCCUUUCAUUUUGGGAUAACUCCGGGAAACCGGAGCUAACACCGAAUACUCCGUCUCGGCGGCAUCGCUGAGCCGGGAAAAAAUCUUGAUGAAAGAUGGUCUCGCGGCCUAUCAGCUAGUUGGUGAGGUAAUGGCUCACCAAGGCGACGACGGGUAGCCGGCCUGAGAGGGCGACCGGCCACACUGGGUCUGAGACACGGCCCAGACUCCUACGGGAGGCAGCAGUGGGGAAUAUUGGGCAAUGGGCGCAAGCCUGACCCAGCGACGCCGCGUGAGGGAUGAAGGCCUUCGGGUUGUAAACCUCUUUCAGUAGGGAAGAAGCGAAAGUGACGGUACCUAAAGAAGAAGCACCGGCUAACUAUGUGCCAGCCGCCGCAGUAA